GGGUUGUGAGGUUAAGCGACUAAGCGUACACGGUGGAUGCCCUGGCAGUCAGAGGCGAUGAAGGACGUGCUAAUCUGCGAUAAGCGUCGGUAAGGUGAUAUGAACCGUUAUAACCGGCGAUUUCCGAAUGGGGAAACCCAGUGUGAUUCGUCACACUAUCAUUAACUGAAUCCAUAGGUUAAUGAGGCGAACCGGGGGAACUGAAACAUCUAAGUACCCCGAGGAAAAGAAAUCAACCGAGAUUCCCCCAGUAGCGGCGAGCGAACGGGGAGCAGCCCAGAGCCUGAAUCAGUGUGUGUGUUAGUGGAAGCGUCUGGAAAGGCGUGCGAUACAGGGUGACAGCCCCGUACACAAAAAUGCACAUAUUGUGAGCUCGAUGAGUAGGGCGGGACACGUGGUAUCCUGUCUGAAUAUGGGGGGACCAUCCUCCAAGGCUAAAUACUCCUGACUGACCGAUAGUGAACCAGUACCGUGAGGGAAAGGCGAAAAGAACCCCGGCGAGGGGAGUGAAAAAGAACCUGAAACCGUGUACGUACAAGCAGUGGGAGCACGCUUAGGCGUGUGACUGCGUACCUUUUGUAUAAUGGGUCAGCGACUUAUAUUCUGUAGCAAGGUUAACCGAAUAGGGGAGCCGAAGGGAAACCGAGUCUUAACUGGGCGUUAAGUUGCAGGGUAUAGACCCGAAACCCGGUGAUCUAGCCAUGGGCAGGUUGAAGGUUGGGUAACACUAACUGGAGGACCGAACCGACUAAUGUUGAAAAAUUAGCGGAUGACUUGUGGCUGGGGGUGAAAGGCCAAUCAAACCGGGAGAUAGCUGGUUCUCCCCGAAAGCUAUUUAGGUAGCGCCUCGUGAAUUCAUCUCCGGGGGUAGAGCACUGUUUCGGCAAGGGGGUCAUCCCGACUUACCAACCCGAUGCAAACUGCGAAUACCGGAGAAUGUUAUCACGGGAGACACACGGCGGGUGCUAACGUCCGUCGUGAAGAGGGAAACAACCCAGACCGCCAGCUAAGGUCCCAAAGUCAUGGUUAAGUGGGAAACGAUGUGGGAAGGCCCAGACAGCCAGGAUGUUGGCUUAGAAGCAGCCAUCAUUUAAAGAAAGCGUAAUAGCUCACUGGUCGAGUCGGCCUGCGCGGAAGAUGUAACGGGGCUAAACCAUGCACCGAAGCUGCGGCAGCGACACUAUGUGUUGUUGGGUAGGGGAGCGUUCUGUAAGCCUGCGAAGGUGUGCUGUGAGGCAUGCUGGAGGUAUCAGAAGUGCGAAUGCUGACAUAAGUAACGAUAAAGCGGGUGAAAAGCCCGCUCGCCGGAAGACCAAGGGUUCCUGUCCAACGUUAAUCGGGGCAGGGUGAGUCGACCCCUAAGGCGAGGCCGAAAGGCGUAGUCGAUGGGAAACAGGUUAAUAUUCCUGUACUUGGUGUUACUGCGAAGGGGGGACGGAGAAGGCUAUGUUGGCCGGGCGACGGUUGUCCCGGUUUAAGCGUGUAGGCUGGUUUUCCAGGCAAAUCCGGAAAAUCAAGGCUGAGGCGUGAUGACGAGGCACUACGGUGCUGAAGCAACAAAUGCCCUGCUUCCAGGAAAAGCCUCUAAGCAUCAGGUAACAUCAAAUCGUACCCCAAACCGACACAGGUGGUCAGGUAGAGAAUACCAAGGCGCUUGAGAGAACUCGGGUGAAGGAACUAGGCAAAAUGGUGCCGUAACUUCGGGAGAAGGCACGCUGAUAUGUAGGUGAAGCGACUUGCUCGUGGAGCUGAAAUCAGUCGAAGAUACCAGCUGGCUGCAACUGUUUAUUAAAAACACAGCACUGUGCAAACACGAAAGUGGACGUAUACGGUGUGACGCCUGCCCGGUGCCGGAAGGUUAAUUGAUGGGGUCAGCGCAAGCGAAGCUCUUGAUCGAAGCCCCGGUAAACGGCGGCCGUAACUAUAACGGUCCUAAGGUAGCGAAAUUCCUUGUCGGGUAAGUUCCGACCUGCACGAAUGGCGUAAUGAUGGCCAGGCUGUCUCCACCCGAGACUCAGUGAAAUUGAACUCGCUGUGAAGAUGCAGUGUACCCGCGGCAAGACGGAAAGACCCCGUGAACCUUUACUAUAGCUUGACACUGAACAUUGAGCCUUGAUGUGUAGGAUAGGUGGGAGGCUUUGAAGUGUGGACGCCAGUCUGCAUGGAGCCGACCUUGAAAUACCACCCUUUAAUGUUUGAUGUUCUAACGUGGACCCGUAAUCCGGGUUGCGGACAGUGUCUGGUGGGUAGUUUGACUGGGGCGGUCUCCUCCUAAAGAGUAACGGAGGAGCACGAAGGUUGGCUAAUCCUGGUCGGACAUCAGGAGGUUAGUGCAAUGGCAUAAGCCAGCUUGACUGCGAGCGUGACGGCGCGAGCAGGUGCGAAAGCAGGUCAUAGUGAUCCGGUGGUUCUGAAUGGAAGGGCCAUCGCUCAACGGAUAAAAGGUACUCCGGGGAUAACAGGCUGAUACCGCCCAAGAGUUCAUAUCGACGGCGGUGUUUGGCACCUCGAUGUCGGCUCAUCACAUCCUGGGGCUGAAGUAGGUCCCAAGGGUAUGGCUGUUCGCCAUUUAAAGUGGUACGCGAGCUGGGUUUAGAACGUCGUGAGACAGUUCGGUCCCUAUCUGCCGUGGGCGCUGGAGAAUUGAGGGGGGCUGCUCCUAGUACGAGAGGACCGGAGUGGACGCAUCACUGGUGUUCGGGUUGUCAUGCCAAUGGCACUGCCCGGUAGCUAAAUGCGGAAGAGAUAAGUGCUGAAAGCAUCUAAGCACGAAACUUGCCCCGAGAUGAGUUCUCCCUGACUCCUUGAGAGUCCUGAAGGAACGUUGAAGACGACGACGUUGAUAGGCCGGGUGUGUAAGCGCAGCGAUGCGUUGAGCUAACCGGUACUAAUGAACCGUGAGGCUUAACCUUACAACGCCGAAG
rnacentral:rRNA from 1 species